ACUUGGAAACUGAUGAUUGCCCCUUUAAUUCCCGCUGAAAUUCAAAACGAAGCCUGAGAAUUGGGAAAUCUCUCAAACUCCGUAACAAGGCUUCAAAAUGCUUCAUCGUACCAAAACUCUCUCCGAAAAUAUUUCCAAACUAAACCUUAGCCAACAUUUUCUCCGUCAACAUUGUCGUACGAAGUCGACUCGCCGUUUCAACAACGCCAAAGAUGAAGAUGAAGAUUAUCACAGAGUUCGAAGAAAAACUGAAAAUCAAGAAGCACAAAUUUAUUUGCUGAAAAGCAGAGGUCAACAUCUGCUCAUGAAUCCCCGAGUUCUUAACUCCAUUGUCCAAAAAUCCAACAUACUUCCUACUGAUACUGUUCUAGAAAUUGGACCCGGCACCGGAAAUCUCACCCUGAAACUUCUAGAAGUUGCCGAAAAGGUUAUAGCCAUUGAAAUUGACAAACGUAUGGUAGAGAUUCUUCACAAGCGUGUCUCUGAGCGAGGGCUUCAGGACCGCUUAACUGUUUUUUGUCAAGAUGCUUUAAGGACUGAGUUUCCAAAGUUUGAUCUUAUGGUAGCCAACAUCCCUUAUGGAAUAUCCUCCCCUCUGGUCGCUAAAUUGGUUUUUGGGAAGAACUCAUAUAGGGGUGGGACAUUACUGCUGCAGAAAGAGUUUGCAAGGAGGCUAUUGGCAAAUCCAGGGGAUUCGGAGUUUAAUAGAUUAGCUGUGAACGUGAGGCUGGUGGCUGAUGUAGAGUUUGUCAUGAAUGUGAGCAAGAAGGACUUUUUGCCAUGUCCUAAAGUUGAUUCUUCUGUUGUGAAGAUACAUCCUAAAGCUGAAAUCCCAGAGGUUGACUAUGAAGAAUGGUGUGCGUUUACAAGAACUUGCUUCACCAAGAAAAAUAAAACAUUGGGUGCGAUCUUUAAGCAGAAAAGAAUGUUGCUGGAGUUAAUGAAGCUGCAAGAAAUCAAAGGGGAUGAAGUGAAUAACACAAUUUACAGUGAUUAUCAUGUUAAUGAUACAGAAGAUGAAGAUGGGUUGAGCAAUGAAGAUAAUGCUAAUUUCUCUUCUGAUGUCGGAAUGGACCUGAACUUGUUUAGAGAGAAAGUCAUUGACAUUCUACGAUCUGGUGGAUUCGAAGAUAAGAGGCCUUCAAAGCUCUCCCAUGAGGAGCUACUGAACUUACUUUCUUUAUUCAAUCGAGCUAGGUUGCACUUUCACGGUCAAGUAAAACCAACAAAUAGAAAGGAUGCAGAACUUGCUUCUGCAUUUGGUCCAUUAUAAUGCCUAAAUACUCACGAUCCAUGCUGUAUUGUCUUUGACCUCAUUUAAGUAAAUGGCUAUUUAAUCAAAUUUGUUGAUCAAGCCAUAGCUGCAGAUGAUCAAAUCUUUUACAAGAAUUUUGCAGAAGAAUUUUGUGCUCAAACAGGUCAUAUUUUAGAAGGUGAUAGGAUUGAUCUGUUCUUCUAAGUCAUUUCAUGCACUGUAUUCUAGGCAGAAACUUUAUGUCUCCUGGAUUAAAUUCGACGGUGGAAUGUCAAUGGACCUCAUAAGAUGCUGUUGUUUUUGAAUUAUCAUUACCAUUUAGCAAAUGGAUGGAUUCGAUUGGAGCCCAUAAGAGUGGUCCAUUACGCCAAAUGGGCUUCGAAGCCUUGAGACAAUUGUCCGACCUGAUUCUGAAACACUUCUUUCAGGGAUGAGAGUAUCUGGUUGUUCGGCUGGUAUUUGGCACCCUUCAUCCUGACCUAUCAUGAAUUUCUCUCUUCAAUUGCUUACAGCUUGACUGACAGUUGGUAACUGAAAGGGGAUGGGCCAGCAACAAGCCUCGCCUGAAAAGAACCUGCUCGAGACCCCCAGGUUAUUUCGGAAUUUUCAGGCAGAGAUAACUCCCUGCCCCAGUUGGGCAGCAUUUUGGUAUUGCCACCUCUUAUUAUUGCGCAUGUGCUCUCAUAUGGACUUUGUGGGUUUUCAAUCUUGGCAAAGUACUCUGAGAUAUUAGGAUGUCUAUGGUGUAAGCAACCUGGACUGGUUCUCAAGUCAGAGAUAUCAAGAAUCCAAAAAUCUAAGCAAGGGAUUACAACUUCCCCAUCUCAUUUGCGAUUAUAAAAAAAAUCAACAUCUCAAUGGGACAACAUUUUUUACUUUAGGUGGAAAAAUGGUGGAAUCGAGUCAACUGUAAGAGGAUAGCAAACCUCUAUUGGUUUCUACCCGUGGUUAUUUUUCAGAGACUUUCUCCUGGUGGUUCUGCAAAAGGAAAAGCGCUACUGAACGGUGAUUAGGACAGUGAUCUGCACAAAUGCAGGAAACAAAUUACUCCUUCCGUUUCAAUUUAUGUGAACCUAUUUCCUUUUUAGUCCGUGCUAAAAAGAAUGACCUGUUUCCCUAUUUGGAAAUCAUUUACCUUUAUGCAAUGAUUUAUAACCACACAAAAUAUAUGUGUCUCCUUUUACACCACAAGUUCAAAAGU